rnacentral:sRNA from 1 species
AAUCCACUCCGGGCUUCCUUGCCGGAGUGUCCCCUGCAAACUCUCAUUGCUGUCUGCCCGCCUUCUGCCCUCGGUCCCAUUCUUACACCUUCCGGAGUCGGCCUCAUCAAUCAUAGAUUUCACAAGUCCUUGCAGCCUCACCCUUGGCAGAAGACCAGGAGUGUUUUCCAAGCCCUCCAAAUACUCUUCGGGCACGCCUCGCCUCUGCCUGGUAUGAUAAGGCUUUGAUAAGCCCAUAGUAUCGCACUGCAGAAAAAUCCAUUAACAUUUUCCACCCACAUUCCUUCUGCGCCCCGCCCCCCCGGGGGGGCUGUGUAGGUUUCUCCUUUUGAAAAUUUAUUGUAAGGGAGAUUGCUAUUAUUGCUGGCUGUAAGGGAAGAUAAGACACAAAAAUCCUUUGUCUUUGUGCAGAAAAUGUGGUGACCUUGAAGAAGAACUCAAGAAUGUUACUAACAAUCUGAAAUCUCUGGAGGCUGCAUCUGAAAAGUAUUCUGAAAAGGAGGACAAAUAUGAAGAAGAAAUUAAACUUCUGUCUGACAAACUGAAAGAG